GAGAACGCGUGGCUGGUGUAAAUGA
rnacentral:piRNA from 1 species